GGCCGGGUAGCUCAGUUGGUAGAGCAGAGGACUGAAAAUCCUUGUGUCGGCGGUUCAACUCCGUCCCCGGCCACCA
rnacentral:tRNA from 2 species